rnacentral:rRNA from 1 species
GAUGAACGCUGACAGAAUGCUUAACACAUGCAAGUCAACUUGAACUUCGGUUUGGGUGGCGGACGGGUGAGUAACGCGUAAAGAACUUGCCUCACAGCUAGGGACAACAUUUGGAAACGAAUGCUAAUACCUGAUAUUAUGAUUAUAUGGCAUCGUAUAAUUAUGAAAGCUAUAUGCGCUGUGAGAGAGCUUUGCGUCACAUUAGCUAGUUGGAGAGGUAACAGCUCACCAAGGCGAUGAUGGGUAGCCGGCCUGAGAGGGUGAUCGGCCACAAGGGGACGGAGACACGGCCCUUACUCCUACGGGAGGCAGCAGUGGGGAAUAUUGGACAAUGGACCGAGAGUCUGAUCCAGCAAUUCUGUAUGCACGAUGAAGUUUUUCGGAAUGUAAAGUGCUUUCAGUUGGGAAGAAAAAAAUGACGGUACCAACAGAAGAAGUGACGGCUAAAUACGUG